rnacentral:rRNA from 1 species
AUUGAACGCUGGCGGCAGGCCUAACACAUGCAAGUCGAACGGUAACAGGAAGCAGCUUGCUGCUUUGCUGACGAGUGGCGGACGGGUGAGUAAUGUCUGGGAAACUUCCUGAUGGAGGGGGAUAACUACUGGAAACGGUAGCUAAUACCGCAUAACGUCGCAAGACCAAAGAGGGGGACCUUCGGGCCUCUUGCCAUCGGAUGUGCCCAGAUGGGAUUAGCUAGUAGGUGGGGUAACGGCUCACCUAGGCGACGAUCCCUAGCUGGUCUGAGAGGAUGACCAGCCACACUGGAACUGAGACACGGUCCAGACUCCUACGGGAGGCAGCAGUGGGGAAUAUUGCACAAAGGGCGCAAGCCUGAUGCAGCCAUGCCGCGUGUAUGAAGAAGGCCUUCGGGUUGUAAAGUACUUUCAGCGGGGAGGAAGGGAGUAAAGUUAAUACCUUUGCUCAUUGACGUUACCCGCAGAAGAAGCACCGGCUAACUCCGUG